GAUGAACGCUGGCGGCGUGCUUAACACAUGCAAGUCGAACGGAAAGGCUCCUGCUUGCAGGGGUCCUCGAGUGGCGAACGGGUGAGUAACACGUGGGUGAUCUGCCCCGCACUUCGGGAUAAGCCUGGGAAACUGGGUCUAAUACCGGAUAGGACAGUGGUUUGGAUGCCAUUGUGGAAAGUUUUUUCGGUGUGGGGUGAGCUCGCGGCCUAUCCGCUUGUUGGUGGGGUAAUGGGCUACCAAGGCGUGGACGGGUAGCCGGCCAGUGGGGGUGUACGGCGACACAGAGUCCGAGGGAAGGCCGAGGUAGGGAAGGGAGGGAGCAGGGGGGAAGCUUGACGAAGCGGCGCAAGCCGGGUGAAGAGAGGCUGCGUGGGGGAUGACUGCCUUCGGGGUGAAGACCAAAUGCGUAAGGAACGAUGCGUUAUGUGACGGUACCUAGAGAAGAAGCAACGGCUAACUACGUG
rnacentral:rRNA from 1 species